UACGAAGGGGGCUAGCGUUGUUCGGAAUCACUUGGGCGUAAAGCGCACGUAGGCGGAUCUUUAAGUCAGGGGUGAAAUCCCAGAGCUCAACUCUGGAACUGCCUUUGAUACUGGGGAUCUCGAGUCCGGGAGAGGUGAGCGGAACUGCGAGUGUAGAGGUGAAAUUCGUAGAUAUUCGCAAGAACACCAGUGGCGAAGGCGGCUCACUGGCCCGGUACUGACGCUGAGGUGACGAAGGCGUGGGGAGCAAGCAGG
rnacentral:rRNA from 1 species